rnacentral:rRNA from 1 species
UACGUAGGGGGGCAAGCGUUGUCCGGAUUUAUUGGGCGUAAAGAGCUCGUAGGUGGUUCGGUAAGUCGGAUGUGAAAUCUCCAGGCUCAACCUGGAGGGGUCAUUCGAUACUGCCGUGACUAGAGGUCGGUAGGGGAGUGUGGAAUUCCUGGUGGAGCGGUGAAAUGCGCAGAUAUCAGGAGGAACACCAUGGCAAAGGCAGCUCGCUGGGACGGUACUGACGCUGAGACGACGAAAGCGUGGGGAGCAAACAGGAUUAGAA